rnacentral:other from 1 species
AUUUGCCUGGAGAGUGCGUGCUUUCACCAAAAUGCGGCCCGAACAGUACAGAAAUAGGGAUUCGAAGUUGCGCGGUGUCGAAUGCUUGCCUUAGCUUAGCAAGAAUCCUAAAGUGCAAUUAAAAGCAGAGUCCCACCUUGAUUAGAGAGCGGUCACGCUCGCGUGAUAACGGCUCUUUGGGUAUUCU